UACGUAGGGUCCGAGCGUUGUCCGGAAUUACUGGGCGUAAAGCGCACGUAGGCGGCUUUGCAAGUUAGAGGUGAAAGCCCGGGGCUCAACCCCGGAAUUGCCUUUAAAACUGCAUCGCUAGAAUUGUGGAGAGGUAAGUGGAAUUCCGAGUGUAGAGGUGAAAUUCGUAGAUAUUCGGAAGAACACCAGUGGCGAAGGCGACUUACUGGACACAUAUUGACGCUGAGGUGCGAAAGCGUGGGGAGCAAACAGG
rnacentral:rRNA from 1 species